GCCUUUUGUUCUAAUGAGCCAACAGAAAGGGUCAAGCUCCUUUUGAACGCUCCAUGGCUCUCACUGCUGUCCUAGCCUAACGUUCAACCCCACCUCUUGUUGAUCCAGUGUCUGAAAUGCAUGUUCCUGACACAUAAUUACCGCCAGUCUUGAUAAAUACCCCUAUCGCCCAGCAGCCCUGCGCUUCCAGCCCUCGGACCCCAGCCCCACAGAUUCAUAAUUCAUAACAUUGGCUCGACUUUGAGUCCUUCCAGACUUGGCAUGGCCUCUCUCCAGCUCAGGACCAGGCUUUGAGCCGACCAUGAGAAUGUGGCUGCAGGCGGUUUGUGAAACUGCUCGGGAUUCCAUGAAGUAAGGAUGCUUUAAUUGCUGGAAAACAAUAUAUGUUAUCUUUCUCAGACGGUCUUAAAAGCGUGUGGCGUUUGGAUUGGACUUUGGAUCGCCUCGCUUUGAUUAAAUAAGUUAUUUGAGCGGUUUGAUUUCAGGGGGAAAGUACGGUCAUGAGAUAUCUAUAUCUCCUGAGAUGCUUUUCAUCUCGCUUUGUUGUCAAGAUCGAAUUGACAGUUUGACGUCACAGGAGUGUUUUGCCGACGAAUGUUUUCAACGUAGUGAACGAUACCUCAUUCGUUUACUUCAACCUAUGGUGACCCAUGCGUGGAAAAAGGUGUGUGUGUGUGUGUGUGUGUUCCUCUUUGUUACCUGCUUCUGUGGCUGUGUUUUGACUGCACUCUUCGGUCUGGUUGGCCUACUCUCUCUCUCUCUCUCUCUCUCUCUCUCUCUCUCUCUCUCUCUCUCUCUCUCUCUCUAACUUUCAGUUCCCAGCUGCGGAGUUCACCUGCCAAACAGAUUCAUACACUGUCCACGUAAUUUGAUUAGCGUGCACCAAAUCACGCUAACACGAUUAUAAGCUCCCCAGACACAGGGUGGCAGAAUGAUUCCAGAUGGAGACACGAUCACCUCCAUUACCACCUCCAUCAUCACCCUCAUCCUCCUCAUCUUCAUCAUCAUGUUCAAGAUCAUCAUCAUCAUCUUCAUCAUCAUCAUCAUCGUCGUCAUCAUCAAACACUCAACUUACCGUAAUUCAGCUCAAAGUUGUACACACAAUUUUUCUUCGGGAUAAGUCUUUAAUCUUGUACAAAUUGCAGAAACAAAGAGCAUCAAAUUAAAAAUAUUUUUCAUCAUAAUUAGCGGUUAUCGACUCAUCAGGGGUAAAAUGUAUUUCAAAAAAUGUAUUUUCAUUAAGCUAUUAAUCGCUACUACCUUCACAGUGUCUCAAACGGCAUCUUCCUCAGUCUGUUCCUCGUUCAAAGCCUCAUAGCAGUGAGCCUUCUGUGAAUGUGAUUGUGAUUAAUGACUAUCGCAGGAGCCACAUUCUGGACACGGUCGCCAAACCUGCCCACACCAUCAAUGGCUUCGCACCCAGAAACAUUUUGCCGAUGCCAGCGACGCCAUAUAAUACUUUCCUCGCGGCCCGGGCCAGCCCAUUUGGAAAGGGCAUUGAUAUAAACCAUCCUGAUGAUGGUGAAAACAGGUGUUUUCAUCCAACGCUCUCCAUCCAUCCCAGUCACGCCUGUGUACCAUCGACGUGGUGGAGGGCUCUUGUACUGCUGGUGACCCUCCUGAGAACAGAACCCUAAACCUCCGUUGUCGUUAAGGACUCUCAGUGAUGAGUGUUCAACCUGGAGGGAGCCCUCUCCAUCCCUAUCUCUUCCAUUAUAUCAGGUCUCUCCAUGGAUGUGUGUGUGUGUGUGUGUGUGUGUGUGUGUGUGUGUGUGUGUGUGUGUGUGUGUGUGUGUGUGUGUGUGUGUGUGUGUGUGUGUGUGUGUGUGUGUGUGUGGAAGUGCAUGCAGUGUCUUUCCAUGCACGUGUGUUUCGGUGUAUGUGUGUAUGUGUGUUUUUUCCAUGGAUUUGUUUGCGUGUGAGUCCAUGCAUGGAAUUGUCUUUCCAUGCAUGUGUGUGUGUGUGUGUGUGUGUGUGUGCGCGUGUGUGCGUGUGUGCAUGUAUGCGUCUGUGUGUGUGUGCUUCUGUGCAUGUAUGUGUAUUUGUGUGCUGACAUGCCUGUAAGGGUCGCUGCAUGUGUGUUUGUGCAUGUGUUUGUGUUUAUGUGUGUGCGUUCACGCAAAGUUUGGUUGUAUGUGCGUGAAUAUCGAAGCGCACGCUCUACAUUUCAUCUGGCGAAGCGGAUGAUGGUGAAGCUGGUCUGAAGUGCCACGAAAACCCAGACAGUCAACAGACACGCAUGCUGAGAUUAUGCAACACAACCUAAUAUUCAGCCUACAACUAAAGGGAACAGAAUUUCGUGAUUCUUUGAUUCCAUGAGCAUUUGGUUCCCAGACAUCCACUGUAUGGCUCUCCUUGGAAAACUAGUCAGAACACGAAAGCUACUUGCUGUAACAUGGCUCUCAAAAAACACUUAAGUGUCUACUUAUCAUGGACUAUUGAAUGGGAAGACAUUGUGUUGUUUUUGAGUGAAAAUUUGUCUGAACGCUUCUAUUUGGGGUUUGGGAUUUCCACGUCAUUUUCCCAAGCAGGUGUUAAGAUGAUUAAAAAUGCCUUUGAGCUCAGCCUUAAUUUCCACGGAAAGUUCAACCGUAUUCCGUCAAGGUACUUGACUCGUGAUUCAUUUGUUUUAUAGUUAAGAAAAUAAAGAAUAAUGCUAAAACCAUUAUAUUGAAAUAGUAGCUUUGUGAAAGAUUUAAGCAAAGAACUGGGGAACAUUUUCUUCUUUUUAAUGUUUUACUCAUGUCAACACAAACACAUGGUCAAUAUCCAUCCCAUUAAUCAUAUUGAGCUGAAGUAUAUAUUCCCUAAUAAAUC
ensembl:lncRNA